rnacentral:rRNA from 1 species
AGAGCGAACGCUGGCGGCAUGCUUAAUACAUGCAAGUCGCACGAGGGGGCAACCUCUAGUGGCGGACGGGUGAGUAACGCGUAGGUAUCUAUCCUGGGGUGGGGGAUAACGGCUGGAAACGGCUGCUAAUACCGCAUGACACCUGAGGGUCAAAGGCGUGAGUCGCCUUGGGAGGAGCCUGCGUCCGAUUAGCUUGUUGGUGGGGUAAAGGCCUACCAAGGCGACGAUCGGUAGCUGGUCUGAGAGGAUGAUCAGCCACACUGGGACUGAGACACGGCCCAGACUCCUACGGGAGGCAGCAGUGGGGAAUAUUGGACAAUGGGGGAAACCCUGAUCCAGCAAUGCCGCGUGAGUGAAGAAGGUCUUCGGAUUGUAAAGCUCUUUCGGCGGGACGAUGAUGACGGUACCCGCAGAAGAAGCCCGGCUAACUUCGCGCCAGCAGCCGC